AACGAACGCUGGCGGCAUGCCUAACACAUGCAAGUCGAACGAAGCCUUCGGGCUUAGUGGCGCACGGGUGCGUAACGCGUGGGAAUCUGCCCUUGGGUUCGGAAUAACAGUUAGAAAUGACUGCAAAUACCGGAUGAUGUCUUCGGACCAAAGAUUUAUCGCCCAAGGAUGAGCCCGCGUCGGAUUAGCUAGUUGGUGAGGUAAAGGCUCACCAAGGCGACGAUCCGUAGCUGGUCUGGGAGGAUGAUCAGCCACACUGGGACUGAGACACGGCCCAGACUCCUACGGGAGGCAGCAGUGGGGAAUAUUGGACAAUGGGCGAAAGCCUGAUCCAGCAAUGCCGCGUGAGUGAUGAAGGCCUUAGGGUUGUAAAGCUCUUUUACCCGGGAUGAUAAUGACAGUACCGGGAGAAUAAGCCCCGGCUAACUCCGUGCCAGCCGCCGCGGUAAAAC
rnacentral:rRNA from 1 species